UUCGCAAUGCCCGAAAGGGUGACGAAGCGACGCCGCGUGUGGGAAGAAGGCCUUCGGGUUGUAAACCACUGUUGGGAGUUAGGAAGUGUGGGGGUGUUAAUAGCGCCUUCACUUGACUAAAGCUCCAGAGGAAGCCACGGCUAACUCUGUGCCAGCAGCCGCGGUAAUACAGAGGCGGCAAGCGUUGUUCGGAAUUAUUGGGCGUAAAGAGCACGUAGGCGGCUCUAUAAGUCAGCUGUGAAAGCCUUCUGCUUAACGGAAGAACAGCAGAUGAAACUGUAGAGCUUGAGUGCGGGAGGGGAGAGUGGAACUUCUGGUGGAGCGGUGAAAUGCGUAGAUAUCAGAAGGAACGCCGGCGGCGAAAGCGGCUCUCUGGCCCGUAACUGACGCUGAGUGUGCGAAAGCUAGGGGAGCAAACGGGAUUAGAUACCCCGGUAGUCCUAGCCGUAAACGAUGGGCACUAAGUAGAGGGGUUUU
rnacentral:rRNA from 1 species